rnacentral:rRNA from 1 species
CCUACGGGUGGCUGCAGUGAGGAAUAUUGGGCAAUGGGGGCAACCCUGACCCAGCCAUGCCGCGUGAGUGAAGACGGUCCUAGGGUUGUUAAGCUCUUUCGGACAUGAAGUAGAUUACGGUAGGGUCUCAUGAAGGAACGGCAAACUUCGUGCAAGCAGCCGCGGUAAUACGAAGGCUGCGAGCGUUGUUCGGAAUUACUGGGCGUAAAGGGAGUGUAGGCGGAUAGGUAAGAUAGCGGUGAAAUGCCGGGGCUCAACCCUGGAACUGCCAUUAUGACUAUGUAUCUAGAGUAAUGGAGAGGAUAGCGGAAUACGCGGUGUAGAGGUGAAAUUCGUAGAUAUCGGGUAGAACACCGGUUGCGAAGGCGGCUAUCUGGCCAUUUACUGACGCUGAGGCUCGAAAGCAUGGGGAUCAAACAGGAUUAGAUACCCCUGUAGUC